CCCUGAAACACAGGGAAGUGACAAAAAGGCACAUGAUGCCUGGGUGAGGCCUCGCUGGGCACGGGAGUGUGAUUAAGAGACCCCGCCCUAUCCCUCAGUCAGGCAAGCAAGGCGCCCAGAAGACUUCAGGAAAGGAGAGAAAGCAAUGCAGCUGCACUCCCGGCCUGGAAUCCGCUGCCUGCCCGUCCGGUCCUGUCUCUUCGCCGGUGACCCCAAAGUGUUUAGGAUCUGACCGUUACAGACGCCUCUGGCUGUUCCCAAGUCCAGUAAAGGAAAAACAGCUGAUCGCUCGCUCAAGGCCGGAGAUACAACUAAAAGCAUUAGCUGAAGAAUGAAUUCGCCUUGACAAGAGUUACGCAAAAAGACAGUCACAGACAGACAUGGGAAGUUUUUAUAACACGACGGGACAGAAGAGGCACGCCGCUGAAAAUCUGAGAAGAAAACCUGAUUGCGUGUUUUGCGACUAGAGGCAGAUCUUUUGUGCAAACAUCAAAUGGUCUACUCACAAGGUCCUUUGUAGGGUUUCUAACUCGGAAGAAGUAGACGACCAAGGUGGUGGGUAAGAGCUCCCACACGAAAAGAACCACUCCAAACACCACAUAUCCGGCAUCCCCCAGCUGGUUUUUCAGAUCCGCCUGCAGAAAAGAGAGGAAAUGGAGUCACCAGACUGAGGGCGGAGGAAAGAAGUCUGAUCGGAUUCUUCCUAACGUGAACAGAGACUAAUUCUAAUGCUACGACGUGCGUGCUGAAAUCAGGCAGGACUAAUGGUCCAGACCUCAGGUGGGGGCAUAUUUCAGCCACACAGGAGAGACAAUUAUCACCUUCAAGAGAAUCCAGGACAGAAACUGCCCGUCUCUGAUGUUUUACUCCUCCAGCCUCCAAAAUCUUCCUCAUAUCCUAAUUAAGUCUCCUGAAUUUGAUUUUCUUUCCUUCAACAAUCAAAUAAUGAGCCAUUAUGUCACCCCCUCCCCAAUUUUUAAGAGCGGCAUGUAACCAUGACCCUUUGUCUCAUCCCUAGGACAAACACGUGAAUUUUUUAAGCAGGGGAGAGGGGCAGAGAGAGAGAGGGGGAGAAUCCCCUAUGGGCUCCAUAACCCCAGGACUGUGACCCAAGCCAAAAUCAAGAGUCGGAUGCUCAACCAACUGAGCCACCCAGGAGCCCCAACCCAUCAAUUGCGCAGGCUAGGUUGUCUGGAAACAACUGUUCAGAGUCCAGGACGUUUGUCCAGACCAGUGAGACAGCUGAAUGGGCCUGGUGCGUCGUCCCUCCCUUCCUGCAGGGCACAGGGCCUGUGAGAAGCACACAUGGUCGUGUCUGGGCAACUCCACCAGAGAGGCCAGCAUCUCAAACCUAGACAGUGUGCCAAAAUCGGGCCACAGCUGGCCAAUCACCUCAACUCGAUCCUUCUGCCUUCACCAUUACGUGGGAUUCGAAGUACAGUAAGCAGCACUAACCAUGCCACUCUCGGAAGGAUCCCUCUCGAGCUUUGCAUCUCCAGUCCCAUCUCUGCUACAUCUCGGCAGUACGCUGUCCCUUCUAUUCAUUCUACACGAAUAGCGGGCAGCUUGUGGCCACCUGCUAGAUUUGCUCCUAGAUUCUCUCAGUUGGAACCCACAGGUCUAGCUACUCGUGAACAACCAUCCCCCUAAAAAAAACAACAGGACUUUCAAGGUCGUGGUAUUUUAAAUUUGUUAUCACCAGAAGCCCUUAACUGAAAGAAAAAUUGAAAUAAUCAUUUUGUUAAAACCUAAUCUCUGUUGUUUAAUGGAUAUGAAGUUUCAGUUUGGGAAGAUGAGCAAGUUCUGGAGACAGAAGGCGGUGAUGGUUGCCCAACAAUGAGAAUGUGCUUAAUGCCAGUGAUCUGUACACUUAAAAAUGGUUACAAUUGUAAUUUUUAUGUAUAUUUUACUUCAUGAGAUCCUUUGUCUUACGA